GGUUCAGGAUGAACGCUAGCUACAGGCUUAACACAUGCAAGUCGAGGGGUAGCAGGGUAGCAAUACCGCUGACGGCCGGCGCACGGGUGAGUAACACGUAUCCAACCUUCCCAUAACUCAGGGAUAGCCUUUCGAAAGAAAGAUUAAUACCUGAUAGUACUUUUUCAAGGCAUCUUAGAAAAAGUUAAAGAUUUAUUGGUUAUGGAUGGGAUGCGUUCCAUUAGAUAGUUGGUGAGGUAACGGCUCACCAAGUCUUCGAUGGAUAGGGGUUCUGAGAGGAAGGUCCCCCACAUUGGUACUGAGACACGGACCAAACUCCUACGGGAGGCAGCAGUGAGGAAUAUUGGUCAAUGGGCGAGAGCCUGAACCAGCCAAGUAGCGUGAAGGAAUGAAGGUCCUAUGGAUUGUAAACUUCUUUUAUAGUAGAAUAAAGUGAGCCACGUGUGGUUUUUUGUAUGUAUACUAUGAAUAAGGAUCGGCUAACUCCGUGCCAGCAGCCGC
rnacentral:rRNA from 1 species